UUUUAAUUUCACCAGGACUUCCAGGUCUGCUAUGCUGGGAUUGUGGAUUGUGCUUAUUCUUUCAGAACCCUCUGAUCGUAAAAAAGGAAUCCUCUCACAUUUUGUCUUUUUAGGCUAAUAUGUUUUAGUCUCUUUAUUUCUUUACAAACCCUAAUAGUUUUAAGUGACCUUCUUUGGAUAUGUUACAGUUUCAGUAUGACACUUCUGAGGUUUAAUGACUGGAAGUCAACCCAGUAUUUCUGGAGCAGAUGCAGCCUGGUGUCUCCGUGUGUGUGUGCGUGUGUGCAAGCACUCACGAGAUUGUGCUUUCUAUUUUGUUUUUAACAUCCUUCCUGAUGAUGCUUGCCUUUGUGAAUGCCACAAUACUUUGGACCGACUUCUUCAGGGAAUGAUCUACGAUGAUGCCAUCAUCCUUUUCCUGGAUCACGUCUGCACUUGGAAGCCUUGGUCUCCUGAGAACAAGAGGAGGAAACGGUGAAAUGAAGACACCUGAUUCUAGAAGCUAGAAGCUCAUGAUUCUAGAGCUAGUCAGUGACUGAGCCAAACUUGACACUCGUUCUUUCUGCUAACGAAGUUCAAGCUUUUGACCACCAAUGCUGCACUGCCCAGCGUUCCAGUAUGAGGUCUCCAAGAAUGACUGAAACUCUGUCGUUCGUGUGGGCCUUUCCAAAAGAUUAAUGGGAAGGCGACAGAUUCCAGGGACUUCGCAUCCUUUUCAGAAGCAAGGGGGCUCUAAUUUAUACUAAAUGCUAAAUGCCACUUUUGGAUGGUGCCAGUGAGCUGACUACGUAACCUGCCUCAAAAUAAUGUGAGAAUUAAUUAUUACUGAAAAUUAUAAUUUUCUGGACUAUAUCAAUACGUUCACAUUAAAUUCAUAUUUAAUCAGGCUCCCCUCAUUUCGUUGGGUGAUUAGCAUAAUUUAAGCCACAAAACAACCUUGAGAGGGAGUCAUUACUUUUCCUAUUUUAUUUAAAAAAAAUUUUUUUUUUUGGUCUUUUUGCCUUUUCUAGGGCUGCCUCCUAUGGCAUAUGGAGGUUCCCAGACUAGGGGUCGAAUUGGAGCUGUAGCCACUGGUCUACACCAGACCCACAGCGACGCAGAUCUGAGCCGUGUCUGCAACCCACACCACAGCUCACGGCCACGCCGGAUCCUUAACCCACUGAGCAAGGCCAGGGAUUGAACCCGCAACCUCAUGGUUCCUAGUCGGAUUCGUUAACCACUGCGCCACGACAGGAACUCCUACUUUUCCUAUUUUAAACAUGAGGAACUGAGCAGUGCCUGAGCUCAUUUACGUGGCUGAUAGUUACAUAAAAAUACAAAUUUAAUUGAAAACAGCUGAAAAAAAGGCAGUAUGUGUUCACUUAACGUUAUAUACGAAGGUCUGUGAUAAUCUGAGAAGUAGAAAUGGUUUAGAACUAAAUAUUUAAACAUUUUAAAAUCGUAACGUCUUUUAUAAAUUCUGAGACAAAAUGGCACUCUCAAGGGAAAUUUUGUUGGUAUGAUUAAAAAAGAAAGACCCAAAUAAAACACCAUGACCCCAAGGGAAAAUUAGUUUAAACAUCAUUUAAACUCUGAAAGAGAUCAGCAUAAUUUAUUCGUAAGACCAAUCUUGCCACAUAACAGGGACCCAGUGACUUCACCUGACACUUCGAGGAGAGGGGAGUCAGAUUAGUCCCUCUCUGAAAACCGGAGGAAAAACACGGCAGUGCUACAUCCUGUCCCUUACCCCCCAACAAAGACAGGAACACAAUCCUGGAGCAUUUCCGGGUGUCAAUCAACAGUUAAUGUGUUAUCUGCUCAGUGACAUUAAGAUGUGGUUCCUCCAGCCCUUGACAAAGACGUUGGCUCUGAUGAGUGACAGACAACAAGCCCGGGCAGGCUGGUGAAAGGAAAUUCAAUUAUGCUGCUGCUGAAUUGUGCAUCCUCUGGGUUGAACUCAGAUUCAAAUACCAAAGAGAGACACUCGACCCUAGAUUUCUUUUAGGGAAUGCUGAGUGAUUUCACAAUUUUGUCUCCGCUUGAGAGGGACCCACUUCAGGGCAAUCAGGUGGCAGAGCCCACGGAAGAGCGAAUGCCCUUGAAGGAGGCGUGUGAGGGCUGGCGUUUGCUGUCGGAGAGGCGUUUAGAGAAGGGCGGGUCACUCUGGGCCCCCGGAAUUCGGAAUUCGACGCCUGAUAGAACCAGGACAGAGCUGGCUUUUGUCUGAGAAGUCAUUCAAAAAACAGCUGUUCUCUUUGUUGACGCAAGUAGACUGGUCUCCCAGGUGGGGGUGCAUGCAGCCCAGAGGUUGGCUAAAGACAGCAAUGGGGGCUGCGAAGAAAAUUACAACUGUUUUUUGGCUCCAACAGUGUAAAGAAGGCAUUCAGCUUACUUGCACGUAUGGAAUGGUGGUGCGGGCCUCCCCACAAGCCUUUCUCGGUUGCUGUGUUGGAUAUUCAGGAAGUAUUCCUGAGUCGGGAAUGGAGUUCCACAGAGAAGAGAUGGGGAGGGAGCCAAGAGAAUCCCCCCCUCUUUUUUUUUUUUGGCCUUUUAGGGCUGCACCCAAAGCAUAUGGAGGUUCCCAGGCCAAGGGCUGAGUUGGAGCUGUAGCUGCCAGCCUACACCACAGCCACAGCAAGGCAGGAUCCAAGCUGUGUCUGUGACCCACAGCACAGCUCAUGGCAAUGCCGGAUCCUUAACCCACUGAGCGGGGCCAGGGAUCGAACCCGCAACCUCAUGGAUACUAGUUGGGUUCCUUAACACUGAGCCACGAUGGUACCGCCCUAGAAUCACUCUUGUUUGCUUGCAGAAUAUGGCUUUUCAGAUUAUAUCCUCUUGUUUUAACUGAAUGAAUGCUCACCAAGUAGACAUGUGGCUAGAAAAUACUCCUUGCAGAGAAACUGCAGGUUAAAAAAAUACUAAUAAUGUAAGCACAUGUGGAUGACUGUAACAUUGUAGAGGUGGCUCUGCUCACUCCUUAUGUGAGACACAUGACCAGGGAAAAGCAAUGAUCGAAUCCGAUCUGUUAAGAAUUAAGCUGCUUUUUUCUCAUUAUCAAUACUAUUUAAAAUAUGGAUUCAUAUCCACUGUUUUUUCAGCUUUAUUGGCAAGUAAAAUUGUAAGCUAUUUAAAAUCUAUAACAUGAUGAUCUGAUAAAUGUUAACUCAUCCAUUAUCUCACAUAUUCCCCCCCUUUUUAAAUGAGUUCUACCCUCUUAGCAAAUUUCAGUUAUGCAAUACAGUGUUAUCAACCUUAGUCCCCAGGUUAUAUGUUAGACCCUCAGAACUUCUUCAACUUUUUUUUUUUUUUUUGGCCAUGCCCGUCUUUUUUUUUUUCAGCAUGUGGACGUUCUGGAGCCAGGGAUAGAACGUGAGCCACAGCAGUGACAAUGCCAGAUCCUCAACCUGCUGAGCCACCAGGGAACUCCCAGAACUUAUUCAUGAAAGUCUGUACAUUUUACCAAUCUCUCCCCAUUCCCUCCAACUCUCCAGCACCUGGCAACCACUUUUCUACUCUCUUAAUUCUGUGAUUUCAAUUUUUUUUUUUCCAAUUCCACAUAAAAAUGAGAGCAUACCGUAUUUCUCUCUCUCUCGUUGGUAUUUGACUCGAACACAGAGCUCUCCAGCUUCAUCCACGUUGUUAUAAAUGACAGGUUUUCCAUCUUUUUAUAGCUAAAUAGCAUUCCUUCGGGGUGCAUAUAGGGUUUCUUUUGAGGUCUCUUUUCUUGGCCUGUAGAUGGCUAUUUUCUUCCUCUUUGUUCACAGGGUCUUCUCCUGUGAGCAUAUAUGUUUUUGUCCAAAUUUCCUCUUCUUACAGGGAUGCAAGUCAUAUAAGGUUAUGGCCCAACCCAAUGAGCUCAUUUAACUUCAUCACCUAUUUAAAGAUCUUAUUUCCAAACGCGAUGGCACUAUGAGUUACUGAAUUUGGGGGAAACAUAAUUCAGCUCUUAACAAAAGCCAUUAAAAUCAAAUUUCUUUCUUUCUUUCUUUUUUUUUUUUUUGUCUUUUUGUCUUGUUAGGGCCAUACCCGUGGCACAUGGAGGUUCCCAGGCUAGGGGUCGAAUCAGAGCUGUAGCCGUUGGCCUACACCACAGCCACAGCAACACCAGAUCCGACCCGUGUCUGCGACCUACAUCACAACUCACAGCAACACUGUGGGAUCCUUGACCCGCUGAGCGAGGCCAGGGAUCAGACCUGCAACCUCAUGGUUCCUAGUUGGAUUCAUUUCUGCUGCGCCACAACGGGAACUCCUAAACCAAGAUUUUAAAAAGAAGCAUAAUUUUCCAAGUUUUGUACCAAUAACAAAUACAAAUUAUUUACAAGUACUCUAUAUGCCAACUUGAUCUCAUUCUUUAGAAACUUUUGCUUUAGGUUUAUGCUCUAUGAUACCAUCAUUUUCUACCAUUAAUUCAUUAAUUUAGCAAACACUAUAAAGUCCUUCUCAAGUGCAAGUUCUCUGUUCUAGGCAGCUGAGGCAGAUCAGAGCGAAUGCCAGAUACGUGCCUUCGCGGAGCUUACAUUCUAGUGGCCAAGAGACUGACAUGAAGUCAAGAGCAUCGUAAUUAAGACCGAAGGACUUGGCUCCAGCUCCUGGGAGUGUUGCCAACUCAGCCCUCAGCUGUCAGCCCUCUCUGGGAAUUGCCCUUGGCCUAAGAGGGCUGCCUCACCCACGGUCAUGACCUCUUCCUGGUCAGCCUGCACCUGAAGACUGAUCACCGCGGGGGUGAAAAGGCCCAGAUGCCAAGACUCAAAGUGAGCCCAGCUUGAGAGCUCCCUGUGGGGUUGGCUGGGGACUCUGUCCAGCUUAAAUCACAGCCCAAAUUCUCCCUCUGCCCAGUCUUGGUGCUUUCACUUUCCUCAGGGUCCAGCGUCUAAUUUCCUGAGGAACCCAAACCCACCGCAAAACAAUAUAAUGUUAUGAUAUAUAGGGCAUGUAUGUGAGAUGAUAUUGAACAUUAUGAUAGAAUAUGCGUAUUAUAUCCUCUUAUAAUGCUAUACUCUAUUAUUUACUGUUGGUCUUCCUCGUUGGAAUGCGGCCUUCAUGAGAGGAAGUAUUUUACCUUGUUUGUCCACUGCCAUAUCCACAGCUCCCAGAACAGAGGCUUGAAAGUAUUUGUCCCUCAAUAAAUGUGUUACAUCGGUGAAUAAGUUUGCAAAGUCAAAAUAAAAAUAG
rnacentral:lncRNA from 1 species